AACGCUGGCGGCGCGCUUAACACAUGCAAGUCGAGCGAGAACCGGGGCUUCGGCCCCGGGGACAGCGGCGAACGGGUGAGUAACACGUGGGUAAUCUGCCCUCGGUUCCGGGAUAGCCCGGGGAAACUCGGAUUAAUACCGGAUAGCCUCACGAGCCUUCGGGCGCGUGAGAAAAGGUAGCUUCGGCCUCUGACCGAGGAUGAGCCCGCGGCGGAUUAGCUUGUUGGCGGGGUAACGGCCCACCAAGGCGACGAUCCGUAGCUGGUCUGAGAGGACGAUCAGCCACACUGGGACUGCGACACGGCCCAGACUCCUACGGGAGGCAGCAGUGGGGAAUCUUGCGCAAUGGGCGAAAGCCUGACGCAGCGACGCCGCGUGAGGGAAGAAGGCCCUAGGGUUGUAAACCUCUUUCAGGUGGGACGAAGCCACUCGGGUGAAUAGCCCAGAGGGUGACGGUACCUCCAGAAGAAGCCCCGGCUAACUACGUGCCAGCAGCCGCGGUAACAC
rnacentral:rRNA from 1 species